GCCCGGCUGGCUCAGUUGGUAGAGCAUGAGACUCUUGAUCUUGGAGUCGUGAGUUCAAGCCCCAUGUUGGGCA
rnacentral:tRNA from 1 species